rnacentral:rRNA from 1 species
UACAGAGGGGGCUAGCGUUGUUCGGAAUUACUGGGCGUAAAGGGCGCGUAGGCGGCCCGCUAAGUCGAACGUGAAAUCCCCGGGCUCAACCCGGGAACUGCGUCCGAUACUGGCAGGCUUGAAUCCGGGAGAGGGAUGUGGAAUUCCAGGUGUAGCGGUGAAAUGCGUAGAUAUCGGGAGGAACACCAGUGGCGAAGGCGAGUCUCUGGGAUGAUGCUGACGCUGAGGCGCGAAAGCCAGGGGAGCAAACGGG